rnacentral:rRNA from 1 species
AUUGAACGCUGGCGGCAGGCCUAACACAUGCAAGUCGAGCGGGGUUUUCGGACCUAGCGGCGGACGGGUGAGUAAUGCGUAGGAAGCUGCCCGAUAGAGGGGGAUACCAGUUGGAAACGACUGUUAAUACCGCAUAAUGUCUACGGACCAAAGUGUGGGACCUUGGGGCCACAUGCUAUCGGAUGCGCCUACGUGGGAUUAGCUAGUUGGUGGGGUAAUGGCUCACCAAGGCGACGAUCUCUAGCUGGUUUGAGAGGAUGAUCAGCCACACUGGAACUGCGACACGGUACAGACUCCUACGGGAGGCAGCAGUGGGGAAUAUUGGACAAUGGGCGCAAGGCUGAUCCAGCCAUGCCGCGUGUGUGAAGAAGGCCUUCGGGUUGUAAAGCACUUUCAGCGAGGAGGAAGGGGUGUGUGUUAAUAGUACACACCUUUGACGUUACUCGCAGAAGAAGCACCGGCUAACUCUGUGCCAGCCGCCGCAGUAACAC